UUUUAAUCUCGUUACUUUGUUUUCCUCACCCAGCUCUUCUUACCAGCCUUCGUACAAAGCAUUAAAAUGAAAAUAUUUAAGCCGAAUUUGUCCAGGAGGUUUCACUGAGUAUGUAGAGUAUCCUGCUCACAGACUUGCUGUGUGGUGUUUAUUCCCUGGCACUUCUCUGGCAGGUUUCUCUGAACCUUAACAUCUAGAACCCAUGACCUGAAGUGCUGAGAGCUCUCCCCCUUCACCUGUAGGUAAACCGUUUGAUUUCUGCUCCCAUUGUCUUCCCAUAAAAGGGAGUUUGGGAGGGUGAUUUCCCAGGAAAUUUCUAGUGGUUUUAAGAUCAAAAACUAGUUUUGAUGCCGUAUCUCGUUUCUUCCAGCUGUUUUGAGUUCUGUUUUUGGAUUGCUGCUGCUGCUGCUAAGUCACUUCAGUCAUGUCCGACUCUGUGCAACCCCAUAGACGUCAGCCCACCAGGCUCCCCCAUCCUUGGGAUUCUCCAGAGUGAAGACGGUGUGCAGAGUGAAGGUACAGGCAGAAACGCUUCACAGUUCGUGUAUUCCAAGAACAGAGAUGCUCCGCCAGCUCACUCUUCAACCUUGUUCCCAGCAGCUGCCAGUGCUGCAUAUAGAGAGGACACAGGGCUCCAGGGAGGUGGAGGGGCUUGCCUGAGAUCAUAAUGCAAGUUAUUAAUGGAAGCUAGUAGAAAAUUAAUGUAAGACAUGCUGGAGCAAAACAGGAGCAAAAAGCACUGAAGCUUGCAGAGGCCACUUCCACCUAGUGAAGUCCCCGCAUGCAAGAUUGCCACCCAGAAACAGAGAGAGCCAUGGGGCGCUCUACUUGGGCAUCCUGAAAUAAUCCCA
ensembl:lncRNA